CAUUUAUUUGACAUUCUUAAAGGAGAUCCUGAUCCCACGUCUAGAGACAGCUUACAGAAGAAGCCUUAAAACAACUAGAAUUGAUAGAACAAAAGAUGCAAGAUGCAAAGAAUGCAGAGACCCAAUCUGCAUCCCAGACAGACUUAUUCGACCCUUCCAACCAGAAAACCUCUACAAGAACCCAGAAGCAAAAGAAGGCAAAAGAAGUAAUGAAGACAUUGAAGAAGCUUGAUCUCUCUUCUCCACAGGCGGC
rnacentral:lncRNA from 1 species